rnacentral:rRNA from 1 species
CUAUUUAUGUCGGCGACCGGCGCACGGGUGAGUAACGCGUAUCCAACCUACCCAUAACUAAGGGAUAACCCAGCGAAAGUUGGACUAAUACCUUAUGUAUUCGUUUGAUCUCAUGAGAUUACGAAUAAAGAUUUAUCGGUUAUGGAUGGGGGAUGCGUCUGAUUAGCUUGUUGGCGGGGUAACGGCCCACCAAGGCAACGAUCAGUAGGGGUUCUGAGAGGAAGGUCCCCCACAUUGGAACUGAGACACGGUCCAAACUCCUACGGGAGGCCAGCAGGU